rnacentral:lncRNA from 1 species
AUGUUGUGUGUCCACGUGGAGGGGAAGCACUUUCCUAACCCUGGGUAUGGGGGUGAGGGUCCUUGCGGCCUGGGGGGCGAGGGGCAGGGGAAGCGUAAUCCUCGGCAGACUUCCAGAACCGCGGCCGAGACAGGACUUCUCUGUCCCCAGGGGAUUCCUCUGCGGGGUCCUGGGCUUCUUGCCUCCCUGCCCUGGGGUCUCCAGCCUGCCAGGCAGAGAGGGAGACAGGAAAAGGAGGAAACCCUAGGCAUCAGAAAGCCAUCUAGGCACCAGGUCCGGACAGCUGCUCAGGCCUGGGACAGGGCUGUCUGCAGCCCCGAGGUCCUGGUUCUUCUCUCAUUCCUGUGGGAGACCCCACGGAGCACCCUGCCCGCACCCCUCAGGAAGUCCGUGGGCACUGGGCAGAGAAGCGCAGGGCUGGCAUGCCCCCAGGUAGGAGAUAAAGCGGAGAUGGAGAUGCGGAGCCUCCUGAGAGCGCAGGGCCCUGAGCACUCAGUGGACCCUCAGGGACAGCAGGAGAGGAUCGGGACCCGCAGCGUCACUCAUGUUGGUUUGACAGGGUUGCUUCUUCAUUUGAAGUCCCUGGGGAUGGGGCUUGGCAUGACCUGCUAUUCCUGCAGACCGAGGGAAGGCAGCCUCAGCCCUGCAUCACACGUACCCUUGAAUGUUGCCUUUUCAAAAGACUACAGUGUACGGUACAGAAUACCCAGUUCCUAUCAAAGCAGGAAGGAUGAAAUUCUUUGCAGAUAUAAGUUGAAAGACAACAGUGUCUAUGAAAAAAAACCCUACCGUAUAAGUCAAAACAAUAUAUUUUGCCCAAGACACGAAUUUCAGAAGGAUGGAGAGGUGCUCCAGAGUGAUUACAGCCUGGACAAUGGCAAGACCUAUGAAGGCAACCUCAAGAUCACUGCGAUUUUCUGUGAUGAUCCGUUACAAAAUGUAGACAACCAGCCAGAGACCACGGUGCUCACAGUCGUCACAGCAGAGAUCACAGUAACCACCGCAGAGACCCCGCCGACAACCAUGGACCCCCUGACCACCACACAGUCCACCACGGAGCCCGUGACCACCAUGCGGACCACCUCAGUUGUCAAACAGGAGAGCACGGCGAACACAGACAUCCUUCCACAUCACUUGGGGCCCACAGGCAUCAGACCAAAAACCACACCGAAGGCCAUUGUAACCACAGUGCCCAUGGUUGUCACAGAGGAACGUACCCUUGACAAUUCUGUCGUAUAUGCACUGGUGAUCCUAACCUUGGGUGUGAUCGUUCUGGUACUCUGCUGCUUCUACUGCUGCCUGAGGCCUCGCAAGGAGCUACCAGCAGUGCAGAUAAUACAAAGGGUAAGUCUGCCGUUGGGCCUGAUGGUCAGCGUGCCCGGCACCCACGCCGACCUCUGCCCAGGGGCUCCUGCUGCCUGUGGGACCCUGCGCCCGGGCCCUGCCACCUCCCAGCUACCUGCAGAGAGGGCAGCAGAGGAGGCCUGGGGAGGACUCGAGGACCCUAGCCCUUCCCCAGUCAGCGGCGUGGCUGCUCCAGGGCCUGCACCCCUGAACCCACACUGGAGGUAGUCUGCGGCAGCAGUCACAGUGACC